CUCCAGCAGACCCUCCCUCCCAAACCCUCCCACCUCCUGGACAGCAUCCAUGUUGUCCAGGAGGUGGAAGGGUUUGGGAGGGAGGGUCUGCUGGAG
rnacentral:miRNA from 1 species